UUCAGUGGCUGCAGCAGGAAAAGCUCUUCGCCUCUCGGUACCUUAAGUAUACCUGAGUAGCCAGUGGUCAACAUGGGUUUGCUGCUCUCCUCACUGCAAUAAAUGACGGUGCUGUUGUAAGAGAUCCAGGCUGCCUUUGGCUUCCUCCAAUGGGGAACCUGAACAAGGACCCCCAAACUCCUGUUCACAUAACUAGAGCCCUUCCCCCCAACAUGUGAUGCUGAACAGAGAAGAACAUCUGUGCUUACCUGGGUGAAAUCCUAGGCAUUAUAGAAUGUGGGGAAGAAUCCAUGGGAGAAUCCUCCCCCUGAGGAAAGGGAUGCUGUUUUCCAGGAGAAGUAAAAAGUACACCCCUGGAUAUUGAAG
rnacentral:lncRNA from 1 species